rnacentral:rRNA from 1 species
CUUGAACGCUGGCGGCAGGCCUAACACAUGCAAGUCGAACGAGUGGCGGACGGGUGAGUAAUGUCUGGGAAACUGCCCGAUGGAGGGGGAUAACUACUGGAAACGGUAGCUAAUACCGCAUACCAUCGGAUGUGCCCAGAUGGGAUUAGCUAGUAGGGGGGGUAACGGCUCACCUAGGCGACGCUCCCUAGCUGGUCUUCGAGGAUGACCAGCCAUACUGGAACUGAGACACGGUGCAGACUCCUACGGUAGGCAGCAGUGGGUAAUAUUUCACAACGGGCGCAAGCCUGAUGCAGCCAUGCCGCGUGUAUGAAGAAGGCCUUCGGUUUGUAAAGUACUUUCAGCGAGGAGGCGUUACGCGCAGAAGAAGCACCGGCUAACUCCGUGCCAGCAGCCGCGGUAAUUC